rnacentral:rRNA from 1 species
UACAGAGGUCCCAAGCGUUAGGCGGAAUCACUGGGCUUAAAGCGUGUGUAGGCGGAUGCCUAAGUACCUUGUGAAAUCCCACGGCUUAACCGUGGAACUGCUCGGUAUACUGGGUGUCUUGAGCCAUCUAGGGGCCUGCGGAACAAACGGUGGAGCGGUGAAAUGCGUAGAUAUCGUUUGGAACGCCAACGGUGAAACAGCAGGCUGGGAUGGUGCUGACGC